AAGCGAGCAUCCUAAAGAUCUAUAGAGAUAGAUGUAGUUGGAUGCUUAUAUUUUCACAGAUAAAAUACAGAGACUAGAUGUUGAAAAGGUUCAGCAUAAAAAUCUAAAAAAAGGGUCUGCUACCCUCUCAAGCAUAGUCAUAUGCCAUGAAAUGUACUUGAAUUGAUAUAGUUAUUACUGUGAUUGUCACAAGUAGAUAUCAGUUGUAUCUAAGCUGUAAGUGCUAGAUUGCUGUGAAAAUAUCCUAAGCUCUUGAGAAGAACUGAGGAUAUGUUCUUAAUUUAGAGAAGAAUCAAAGCUAAGAGUGGGAGGAUACACCGACUUAGAUUUUGCUUGAUAUUGAUGAUAGAAUGUCUAUGUCAUGAGGUGUGUUCCUAUGUCGAUACUUUGAAAGGGUUUCAAAUAAUCGAUCAAUGGAAGCUGACUACACUGUAGAUAUGUAGGAUGCAUUCUUAUUUUAAUGUUAGUUACAUAAUUGAUUGUCGUGCCAUCAGAUAUCGUGACAUUACACUACAAAGACAAUGGCACCAUAGCCUUUGCUAAAAAGCCUAGGUCUCACC
rnacentral:lncRNA from 1 species